CGGGAGGGACCAGCGGGGGCGGAGCUCCGCAACCCGUGAGGCGGACUCGACAGAGCGACCUCCUCCGAAGCCCCCGCGAUUCACUAGCGCAGGCGUAGAGAGAGGACCACCUAAGACCAGACCCUGAGCACGAACCCGGGUUCGGCUGCUCACCUCCCAGACCUUCCCGCCGCUGACACUGGUUAGGACUCUACUUCCUCUCUGGGGACUUUUAACUUCCCUACCACAAGGUAUUACACUUCAUCACAGCUGGCUUCCUCAAGUUCAAGGUUCAGCUCUCUGGGGCUUAGAGGAACUACUGUCAUCUGCGAUUAGAGCCUCAUAGAAAGCCCGGGCAGCAGCCCCGUCCAGGACAGGCUCUGCUUUCUCCUGCUGUGGUUGCUGCUGCCCAUCCUUCCAGAGGUCACUGGAGUCAGCCGCUGGGGUAAAUUCGAUGAAGGAUGGCCUAGACAUGCCUGUGAGAGAAACAAGAAAAUGAAGACUGGGCAAGGCAAGGAUGUGACAAGCAAGCGAUCCAACCAUUCAGGUAGCUAUUGUGAAGAUGACCAGCACCACCUCUGGGGGCCCGCUGAGAUGGGAAAGCAGCCUAGAACUAAAAUGGGCCUCCCAUCCCAAAACUGACUUCAUAGUUAGGAUUCUGUGGAGCCCGGGCCUCAUGGGUAAAAGGGACCCCAGGAAUAACAACAGAUCCUGUCACGAUGGGAUGGGUAAAACAGACCCCAGGAACAACAGAUCCUGUCAUGAUGUUAAUAAAAUUUCAUGAGGGCAUAGUA